GCAAUGCCCUACUUGGAAAGGCACCAGUUACUUAGAUUACACGUAACUGUUCCCUUUCUGAGUAGAGUAAGGCU
rfam:Macaca mulatta chromosome X, whole genome shotgun sequence.